rnacentral:rRNA from 1 species
CACGUAGGGUGCGAGCGUUGUCCGGAAUUAUUGGGCGUAAAGAGCUCGUAGGCGGUGUGUCGCGUCGGCCGUGAAAACCUGCAGCUUAACUGUGGGCUUGCGGUCGAUACGGGCAUCACUGGAGUUCGGCAGGGGAGACUGGAAUUCCUGGUGUAGCGGUGAAAUGCGCAGAUAUCAGGAGGAACACCGGUGGCGAAGGCGGGUCUCUGGGCCGAUACUGACGCUGGAGG